rnacentral:pre_miRNA from 1 species
UUUAAAUGCAUCAUUGAGUGCAGCGUUGAUCAGCAUUUAAGAUUUAACGGCGGCUAUGGCGAUCGCCGCUGCCGUUUCUGUUUUCUCAGCCUGCUAAUUGACGUUGCACUCAAUCAUGCUUUUG